AUCGGUACGGGUUGUGAGAGCAAGAGCCCGGAGAUGGAACCUGAGACAAGGUUCCAGACCCUACGGGGUGCAGCAGGCGCGAAACCUCCGCAAUGUACGAAAGUGCGACGGGGGGAUCCCAAGUGUCAUGCUUUUUUGUAUGACUUUUCAUUAGUGUAAAAAGCUUUUAGAAUAAGAGCUGGGCAAGACCGGUGCCAGCCGCCGCGGUAACACCGGCAGCUCGAGUGGUAGCUGUUUUUAUUGGGCCUAAAGCGUUCGUAGCCGGUUUGAUAAGUCUUUGGUGAAAGCUUGUAGCUUAACUAUAAGAAUUGCUGGAGAUACUAUUAGACUUGAAGUCGGGAGAGGUUAGAGGUACUACCGGGGUAGGGGUGAAAUCCUAUAAUCCUGGGAGGACCACCUGUGGCGAAGGCGUCUAACUGGAACGAUCUUGACGGUGAGUAACGAAAGCCAGGGGCGCGAACCGGAUUAGAUACCCGGGUAGUCCUGGCCGUAAACGAUGUGGACUUGGUGUUGGAAUGGCUUUGAGUUGUUCCGGUGCCGAAGGGAAGCUGUUAAGUCCACCGCCUGGGAAGUACGGUCGCAAGACUGAAACUUAA
rnacentral:rRNA from 1 species